UACGUAGGGUGCGAGCGUUGUCCGGAAUUACUGGGCGUAAAGAGCUCGUAGGUGGUUUGUCGCGUUGUCCGUGAAAACUCACAGCUCAACUGUGGGCGUGCGGGCGAUACGGGGCAGACUGGAGUACUGCAGGGGAGACUGGAAUUCCUGGUGUAGCGGUGGAAUGCGCAGAUAUCGAGAGGAACACCUGCGGCGAAGGCGGGUUGCUGGGCUGAUACUGACGCUGAGGCGCGAAAGCUAGGGGAGCGAACGGG
rnacentral:rRNA from 1 species